UCUCGAUAGCGUAAAAGUUAACUCAAAUUUAUAUGUAGUUGGAACGUUUGCCUACGUUUGCCGCUAGGGGCGCUGUACAUACAAAUUUGAGUUAACUUUUACGCUAUCGA
rnacentral:pre_miRNA from 9 species